rnacentral:snRNA from 1 species
CGAUCCACGCUCACCGCACC